UCCAGUAUAAAUGCUGUCCCCCCCUCAUGACACUUGAGCUGAGAUGCUUGGUCCCCAUGCAAGAGACAUCCAGCCCUGCCUGCUGCACUCUGGAGAGAAAAAGGAGGGGUUUGUUGUAACCAAGGGCUUGGCUCCUUCAGUGCAAAGCAGCCCUUUCUUGCAGCAAGUUAUCACUUUGAUUUAGCCAGGCCUGCAGCUGGCACCACAGCUCACCCCAUCCCCUCUGUCCCCAGGGAUCCUGAAGGAGAAGAAGAGAGCAGGAGAGAGCCCAGCUCUGAGCCUGACACCACAUAACACUGGAGUAAAAACCAGUGACCCCUGGGAGUCAGGGCUGGCUCCAGACUGUCCAUCUGCAGCUCCCAGCAAAGCUCCCUGUGCCCUGCACCACCACGUCCCACCCUUGGCAGACACCAAAACCCAAAGAACCCAGGACGCCAACCUGUGCACCCACCAACCCCCAUCAUCCCAGCUCCCCUCCUGGGGCACCAGACAGAAGGGUAAAGGCUGGGGCAGCAAAGAACUUUGCUUUUUUUGAAGUCUGAGCCCUGGGGGGCACUGGGGGUCAGGCGGGGGGCUCCUGGGGGUGGAGCUGGGGUCUCACCCACCCUCUGCAGCUUUCCCAUCUCUAUAAACACGUGGAUAAAAGAUGAGUUUGCAGCUGCAGCUUGCUGUGGAUGGCAGCAUUAGAGGUGCAUCUGUUCCCACUAAGCACCAGUCUCGUGCUGGGUUUAUUUGUCCCACUCGUGGCAGGGAGGAGUUGCUUUCGGCACUGGGAGAUCUCUCGUGUCUGGGAGAAGCUGGGAGGGGGGGAAAUGGGGGGAGGGAGAUAUAUUUUUGGCUCUGUUUAGCCACAAAAAUUUGGGUUUAAAAUAAAGACAAAUAUUCCUGUUUU